UACGUACCGUCCAAACGUUAUUCGGAAUUACUGGGCGUAAAGGGCGCGUAGGCGGCCUGCUAAGUCGAACGUGAAAUCCCUGGGCUCAACCCAGGAACUGCGUCCGAUACUGGUUGGCUUGAAUCCGGGAGAGGGACGUGGAAUUCCAGGUGUAGCGGUGAAAUGCGUAGAGAUCGGGAGGAAGGCCGGUGGCGAAGGCGGCGCUCUGGAACGGCCCUGA
rnacentral:rRNA from 1 species